rnacentral:rRNA from 1 species
ACCUACGGGGCGCAGCAGUGGGGAAUAUUGCACAAUGGGGGGAACCCUGAUGCAGCGACGCCGCGUGGGUGAAGGAGUAUUUCGGUAUGUAAAGCCCUAUCCGCAGGGAAGAACAAUGACGGUACCUGACUAAGAAGCGCCGGCUAAAUACGUGCCAGCAGCCGCGGUAAUACGGAGGAUGCGAGCGUUAUCCGGAUUUAUUGGGUUUAAAGGGUGCGCAGGCGGCGAGUUAAGUCAGCGGUAAAAUUUCGGGGCUCAACCCCGACGAGCCGUUGAAACUGGCUUGCUAGAGUGGGCGAGAAGUA